UACGUAGGGGGCAAGCGUUGUCCGGAAUCAUUGGGCGUAAAGCGCGUGUAGGCGGUCCGGUAAGUCCGCUGUGAAAGUCGGGGGCUCAACCCUCGGAUGCCGGUGGAUACUGUCGGGCUUGAGGACGGAAGAGGCGAGUGGAAUUCCUGGUGUAGCGGUGAAAUGCGCAGAUAUCAGGAGGAACACCAAUUGCGAAGGCAGCUCGCUGGGACGUUACUGACGCUGAGACGCGAAAGCGUGGGGAGCAAACAGG
rnacentral:rRNA from 1 species